rnacentral:rRNA from 1 species
GAUCCUGGCUCAGGACGAACGCUGGCGGCGUGCCUAAUACAUGCAAGUAGAACGCUGAAGGAGGAGCUUGCUCUUCUGGAUGAGUUGCGAACGGGUGAGUAACGCGUAGGUAACCUGCCUGGUAGCGGGGGAUAACUAUUGGAAACGAUAGCUAAUACCGCAUAAUAUUGACUAUUGCAUGAUAGUCAAUUGAAAGGUACAAAUGCACCACUACCAGAUGGACCUGCGUUG